AGGCUGGGUGGAGGAGGGGGGAGGGCCUGAGGGGUGAUGAGGAGCUACAGUGACAGCAGCAUCUCCGCUCUGUCGCCUUGCUCCUGUCAGUUUUCUACGGGAACCGGCCGGGACUCCGCCAGUUUCACUUCAUUACUAGUCUAGUGCCGACCGCCCAUCCGUCCGUCCGUCCGUCUGCGCGCGCGCCGAUCGAGCCCCACCGCCGGACGGUCGAUCAGAGUUUGGUGACCUACUUCGCCGCAAGUUCCAGCUACAGGAGCGCUCUGGCGAAGAGUUGCUGAAUAUCACAGCGAGAUCCAGUUUGAAAUUUGAUGUUCAUCCACUUUGCACUUUGGACGGUGCCGGUGGCGGGGGAAUACGCACGCAUGGUUACCGGAUACCAGACGGAGGAACUGGGGACUAAUUGUGGAAGCAAACCAAUAACCAUGGUGUCAGUUGCAGACCACACACAAGUCUAAAAGUGGACAAAGUGAGUCUGGAGGCGAAUGUCCAGCCAACCAUGGAGGCUGAUCUGAGGACUGGCCUGUCUGUGUGGGCCAUUGUGGCCAUCGUGUGUAACUCCGUGGUGGGCAUCCUCAUCCUCAUCCUCUUCGUCAUCCUCUACAAGGCCUGCAAGGUGCCGUCACAACCGGAGAGGGAAACGGUUUUCACGGCGGAGCAGGAGCAGAAGAAAGGAGAGCAAAAAUACCUGUUGACUGCAGCCUGAUCAUGGCAAAAGGAUUUCAGAUGGAGACGAAAUAAAAAUUUGCCAACUUGUUGGAACUCAAAAUUUGAUUCUCUCUCUGUGUCUUUCUCUUUCCUCUGCAGUUUAUCAGUCAUGCUCUGUCCUUGUUUUCCCCCAGAAUCUGAUAUUCUCCCUUGAAUUGUUUUGUCAUGUCACUUCUGUCUCAUCCCUGCCAUUUAGAGGAGUUCAGAAGAAGCUGACGAGCUAGCUGUGUUAAGGGUUACGUAAAGACCAACAAGCAACAACCGGUCCAAUCCUCUUAUCUCCCCGGCGCUUCGCUGGGACUGUCCAUCUGUCAGUCUGUUUGCUUUGCUCGAGUCAUCUCUGCACAGGCAGGCCACGCUCUCCUCCUCGAGCCCUUUCAUUUUCAUCUGAGAAAAUGCAGAUGUGGAGGAGAAAGAGUGGAAAACAGAAUGAAAGGGCAUGGUGAACGGGUGGAAGUGUUAGACUGAGUGGGGUGAAUGCAUUGAAUGGGAAUCAAAAGUAAAGUGUUAGAGGUGAACAUGAGGGAUGGAGAGAAGCAAAGUCUCAUCACAGCAGAAGCAGCUUGGUAUGUGCCAGCUGGAGCACUAAUUGUGCCAAUGAUGGAGUGGCAAACAGAAGAAAUGAGUACCUGAAAGUCAAGAGGGAGCAAGAGAGAAAGGGUGCGCGAGAGUCAAGAUGCGUUAAAGAGAGAGAUAAAGGGCAGAUAUUUUGGAGGGAUGAGAACCUGAGAAUGAAUAAUAGGUGAGGGAUGUUUUGAUGAUGUGGUGUUUACAGAGAGGGAGCUGCAGGCUCCUGUUUGACAGACUCCCAGAUUGACAUGCAAGUCUCUGUGCUUCCGCUGAUCCACCUCCCAGGGGGAUUAAAAGGAACAAUAAAAAAAAAAAAA